rnacentral:rRNA from 1 species
AGUGAACGCUGGCGGCGUGCCUAAUACAUGCAAGUCGAACGGAGUGGCGCACGGGUGUGUAAUAUAUAGCUAAACCUCCCCUUUCUGGGGGACAACAGUUAGAAAUGACUGCUAAUACUCCAUAGCAAGGGAUGAGACUAUAUCGUAUCUGCUAGUCGGUGGGGUAACGGCCGACCUCGGAUAUGACGCGUAACUGGUCUGAGAGGAUGAUCAGUCACGUUGGAACGGAGACACGGUCCAAACUCCUACGGGAGGCAGCAGGAGGGAAUAGUGCGCAAUGGGGGAAACCCUGACGCAGCAACGCCGCGUGGAGGAUGACACUUUUCGGAGCGUAAACUCCUUUUGUUAGGGAAGCGGUACCUAACGAAUAAGCACCGGCUAACUCCGUGCCAGCAGCCGCGGUAAUAC